UCACCCUAAUAAACCUGAAAAACUUCUCCGCGAUUAAGUUUUGUGAUUCCCUGAACUUUGCCCAUUUCUUGCUUUCAUUAGAGUUUUGUUUAAAAAGUUUCUAUUCUGGAAUUCCUGGGUUUGUUUUUAGUUUGCACAAACUGAACAUGGUUUGAAUUAGAAGUUGUUGGUUGUUUCUCCUUGCUACUGGUCUUUUGCUGCUGUUUCUUCCUAACUUCGGGCUUGUUUUUCUUUGUUACUUCUGCUGAAAUCAGGUACCUCUUGGACUUUAUUAACAUGUGAAGCAUGAAUAUGAAGCAUGUGGAUAUGUACACUUUACUUGGCUGAAUAUCAAUUCAUGUUGUUGAAAACUCACCUUUGUUCUACAUUAAACUAUGUUUCAUUACACUAUUCGUUGUAGUUACUCAUGCUAAGGACAUUACAAAUUAUACUGGGGUUGUAUUUGGACUUUAAAUUUGUCAUUCUGAUUUCAAUUUGAGUUGAACUUUUCUGUCAUGUGAUUAGUGUUGGACUGUCAUGAGAUGGUCUCAACUGAGACGAAGAAUUGCCCUUGUUAGGUUUUGAUUGUAUUUGUUUCAAGCUGGUAAUGAUUUUUAGUUCAUAGUUAACUCUGUUCAUGGGUUUCUUUACUGUCUCAUAUGUGGGUACAGUAUCAGAAUAAAUCCAGAAGCAUGAUGUUGUAUGUUGAUGUUUGGCUCAAAUGUUUGGGGUAUUCCAUUGAUAGAACCACCAUGCGUAUGAAGUUAACAUCAAUUAGUAUUAGUUUUGAUUUUUAAGCACAUAUAUCCUGGAUGUUCAUUGAGUAUAUAAUGUCUGAAUGCUUUGCAAUCUGGUUUUAAAAGUAGGUGGAGAAUAUGUUUUACUUGAUUUAACAAGAUCAGUUAAGUCUAAUAUAGAUUAAUGUUUGGGUUACUCAUUUAUUUGAAUGUUGAACCACAUCUCUAAAACAGUCGGGCCCAUAUUCAUCUCGCGUGUUGGAGCCUUUUCCCCAAAGGCCUGGCCCUUCUGUCAUGUUGUGAAUUAAUUUGGCCAUCUGACUUUUACAAGUCAAGGAAUGCAUACGUUGGCUAUUUCUUUGAAACAACUCAUGGUCCGUUUGUGCUCACAAUUAAUAACGCUUUAAUACCAAACCAUCUAGGCUUAGUUAAAAUGACCUUUUGUAAUUAGGUUGGGGUGUGCCAUUUCAACAAAACAUAUAAUUUAUGGCUCUCAAAAGAGUAGUUCAAACAUCCUUUAAAACUAGACUCGAGGUGUGCCAUUAGCUGAAUUUUUCAUGGCCCUCGCAAACUUGAAAGUGCGUAGUUGCUUUAGGCACGCUAUUUAAAUUAAUUUCCUUAAACUCGGGUGUGCAUUUCAUGUGACCCAACUCCAAUUCUCAAAAAUGUUAAAUAAAAUGUUUCAUGGACCACGGGUGCAUUUCAUGUGGCGUGGUUCAAGGCGUGUUUUAAAUAACGUUGAAUCUUCCUAAAAAAUAAUAAAUAAAAUCGAUUUUAAAUUUAAGACUGUACAUAGGUUUAAAAGUGUUUUAAAAUCAGAUAAUCAGGCCAAUAAUAACAGUUGAGCGACUGUUCUAAAACCACAGAACCCGAACAUUCUCCCGGGUUAACAGAAUUCCUUACCCGGAUUUCUGUGUUCGCGGACUAUAAACAGAGUCAAUCCUUCCUCGAUUCGAGAUUUAAACCGGUGACUUGGGACACCAUAAAUUAUCCCAAGUGGCGACUCUGAAUUUUAAAUAAAUAAUCUCGUUUCGAUUGUCACUUAAAUUGGAAAAAACUCCCUUAUACCCUUCCGGGUUAAGAAAAAGGAGGUGUGACAGUUAUUUUUCUUCAAUUUUGCACAUAUUGACUUGGUUUCUUCCAUAUUUCCUCCAAAUCACUUGAUACCUGAAAUAUGCUACUUAACCUCAAUAAAUGCCUUAGUUUCUCAAUAAAAUCAUACAAAACCCUAAGUAUCAAGAAGAGAUAAGUUGAUAAAAUACCAACUUAUCAUUAGCAAGUUAAAUAUGAGCAUCAGAGAUCUGGUGGUUUGCUUCAGAAGUUAGAGAUUCCUGAGUGGAAGUAGGAGUGUAUCACUAUGGAUUUCGUUGUUGGAAUCCCACAGCCUUAGAGGAAAUUCGAUGCAGUUUGGGUCAUUGUGGACAGGCUGACCAAGUUAGGGCAUUUCAUUCCCUUGGUAGUUACCUAUUCUUCAGAGCGGUUGGUAGAGAUUUAUAUCCGCGAGAUUGUCCAUCUUCACGGUGUGCCCAUGUUUAUCAUUUCUGAUCGAGGUACGCAGUUCACCUCGCGUUUCUGGAGGGCAAUACUGCAUAAUUUAGGGAUGCAGGUUGAAUUGAGCACAUCAUUUCAUCCUCAGAUAGACGGACAGUUCGAGCGCACUAUUCAGAUAUUAGAGGAUAUGCUUCGUGCCUGUGUUAUAGACUUCGAAGGUUCUUGGGAUCAAUUCUUGCCACUUGUGGAGUUUGCCUAUAAUAACAGUAACCAGUCGAGCAUUCACAUGGCUCCCUAUGAGGCAUUAUAGGGGAGGAGGUGUCGUUCGCCAGUUGGAUGGUUCGAACUUGGGGAGGCUCGGUUGUUGGGUAAAGAUUUGCUACAGGAUGCCUUGGAUAAGGUCAAGAUUAUUCAGGAUCGACUUUGCACAGCUCAGUCUAGGUAGAAGAGUUAUGUCGACCGUAGAGUUUGUGAUGUUGCAUUCAUGGUCGGAGAGAGAGUGUUGCUCCGGGUUUCACCCAUUAAGGGUGUGAUGAGGUUCGAAAAGAAGUGCAAGUUGAGCCCUAGGUAUAUCUGACUUUUUGAUAUUCUUCAGAGAGUGGGUGAGGUGGCUUACAAGUUUGCAUUGCCACCUAGUUUAUCAGCGGUUCAUCCGGUUUUCCAUGUGUCCAUGCUUCGAAAGUAUCACGGUCAUCCAUCCCACAUGUCAGAUUUCAUCUCUAUCCAGUUGGACAAGGAUUUAACUUAUGAGGAGGAGCUGGUGUCACAACUCCUUUUUACCACCCCAGAGAGGGUACAAGAGAGUUUUUCCAAUUAAAGUGACAUUAAUUGAAAUGAGAUUAUUUUAUUUAUUUUCUCAGAGUCGCCACUUGAAAUAAUUUUAUGGUGUCCCAAGUCACCGGUUUAUUUUAAAAUCCCAAAUCGAAGAAAUUUCGACUUUAUUUUAAAAGUCUGCGAACCAGAAAUUCUAAGUAAGGGAUUCUGUUAACAGGGGAGAAGGUGUUAGGCAUUCUCAGGUUCUGUGGUUCUAGCACGGUCGCUUAAACUAUUAAUAAUUGGCCUCAUUAUCUGAUUUAUUACGUGUUUUAAACCUAUUGUGCAUUUUUAACCUUUUAAAACCGCUUCUAAUUAUUUUUAACUACUUUUUAGGAUUUAUGAAAUUUAUUUGAACGAGUCGCGAUUGCGCACGCUCGUCUGUUUUGUACACAUUGCGAAUCGCGUCACAUGAAAUGCACCCGCAGUUUACAACAUGUUUAUUUUAUUAUUAUUGUUCGGAGUAUGAUCAAGUUACAUGAAAUGCACACCCGAACUGGGGAUUACGUAUCGAGACCAUGCCACGGGAACCGUACCCAUAGUCACGAUGAUUUGUGAAUAAACAAAUGGAACACUAAACCAACAUGAGCUAUAAACUAACAUGGGAAAACAAACUAUUUUUUCUAAAGCAAGAAACUAAAUUAGCUUUAAACAAAUUAGGAAACAUAUAGGGAAAUUUUAUUUAAAACAAAAGCAACAGUCAUUAACGAAAGAACAGAAUAGCCACGGCUAUGGUUUUUCCACAAGUAAUGAAAUGAAUUAUGUUCCAAUUUAUUAUUGUUAGCAAAUAAAACUACACCAUCACUCGAUAGAACAAAGCAACUUAAAGGUUAAGAAGAAUUUAGAACAGACCUUUUAUUAGCUUUCGAAGUAUACGAAAAAAAAAGACACGCUGAAGAAGCCAACAGUGAACAGACCCGCUAACCAAAAACCAUAUCGGAACCUCGAAACUCACCCGAAAAGCUCGUCGGAAAAUUCGAAACCAAAUGCGACCUCAAUCAAACAAGAAUCGUUAGGAGCAGAGAAGUUGCAAAAAUUGUGAUUCCAAAUCCUCUGCUCCAAAAAGAACAUUGUUGGGUGUGAGGGAUUUUCCGAUAAGGGGGGGGGGGUCUCAAGGACAACAAAAACGGCGCUUAAUUCUUUAGGUCAUGGGGUCUUGCUUUUUCUGAUUUUUUAGCUUUUGGCAUUGGUUUUUUGUGUCCCUUUUUCGACUAAUUCCCUCUCUUUUUGUCUCUCGUUUUUUGUGUAUUUUCUUUUAGCUUUUUUCAGAGAAGACGGCACUGCCUCAUGCCUAAGUUUUGGCUUUUUUUUCUUAUGUCAAAUAAUGUUGUCAGCUCAAGUCCCUAGGUCCUUUUCUUUUAGUUUUUCGACUGAUUUUCUUCUUUGUAUUGUUGCAGCAGAGGCUUUUAUGGAGAAAUGUAUCAAAGAAGAACAAAGCCAAGGCUGGGGGUCUAUGGUUGAUGGAACGGCGGAUUUUAAGUGUAUCUCUCUAGGUUUUUAGGGUGUAGGUCUUUUUAUAGUCUAAGUCUAGGGUUUUAGAGGUAUUGGGCUUGGGAAUUAUGGGCUAUGUCCAAAAAUUAGGCCUAAAAAUUGGUUGUUCGAGCCCAAGUUUAUUCUAUCCCCGCGAACGAGAUUAAAAUACAAUCUCAUUUAUUAAUUAGUCCUACUUAAGUAAAAUAACUGUUAAAAUAAGACUGAC
rnacentral:lncRNA from 1 species